rnacentral:rRNA from 1 species
UACGGGGGGGGCAAGCGUUGUUCGGAAUUACUGGGCGUAAAGGGCUUGUAGGUGGCCAACUAAGACAGAUGUGAAAUCCCCGGGCUUAACCUGGGAACUGCAUUUGUGACUGGCAGGCUAGAGUAUGGCAGAGGGGGGUAGAAUUCCACGUGUAGCAGUGAAAUGCGUAGAGAUGUGGAGGAAUACCGAUGGCGAAGGCAGCCCCCUGGGCCAAUACUGACGCUCAUGCACGAAAGCGUGGGGAGCAAACAGG